rnacentral:tRNA from 1 species
GUGUCCUUGGCCGAGCGGCAGAGGCUCCGGGCUUCCAACCCGGCCAGGCGGGUUCGACUCCCGCAGGGCACAC